GCCCGCAGGGCUGCGGCGGCAGGCAGCGCUCGUGUGGUAAGCGAGAGAUCGUCGGUUCGAUUCCGAUUGCGGGCU
rnacentral:tRNA from 1 species